rnacentral:rRNA from 1 species
UCCAAGCGUUAUCCGGAUUUAUUGGGUUUAAAGGGUCCGUAGGCGGGUCUUUAAGUCAGUGGUGAAAGCCUGCAGCUUAACUGUAGAAUUGCCAUUGAUACUGAAGACCUUGAGUGUAGUAGAAGUAGGCGGAAUAUGGCAUGUAGCGGUGAAAUGCAUAGAUAUGCCAUAGAACACCGAUUGCGAAGGCAGCUUACUAUGUUACAACUGACGCUGAGGGACGAAAGCGUGGGUAGCAAACAGGAUUAGAUACCCUGGUAGUCCACGCCGUAAACGAUGAUUACUCGCUGUUAGCGAUAUACAGUUAGCGGCCAAGCGAAAGCAUUAAGUAAUCCACCUGGGGAGUACGCCGGCAACGGUGAAACUCAAAGGAAUUGACGGGGGCCCGCACAAGCGGUGGAGCAUGUGGUUUAAUUCGAUGAUACGCGAGGAACCUUACCAGGGUUUAAAUGGAAAUUGACAGACGCCGAAAGGUGUCUUUCUUCGGACAAUUUUCAAGGUGCUGCAUGGUU